CUAUCUAGGGAGGCCAAGCAUCCUCGCCCACUAGGCCCAGCGAUCAGACUUCAAGACCAUGUGCACAAAAUGAGCUCCCAGGAUGGAUGAGCACGCAUCUGCUAGGCUCUGGACAGGUCACAGCAGAGCCCUUCUCCCUGCUCACCGCCCAGCACACUCUCAUCUCACCGAAAAUCAAAGAGCAGUAAAGCUGCAGGACUUGUCUCAGGCGGCAUGUUUCAGAAGGGAGCGGGGGGAAGACACCAAAUGAACUCUUCUCCAUCAUGCCCUUCUGCCAUGAUAUCUACCUGAACACAGAUCUAAAAGCAAUGGAGCCAGCUGACCAUGGAUGGGAACCACUGAAAUCAUGAGCCAAAAUAAACCUUUCUUCCUCAA
rnacentral:lncRNA from 1 species